GGAUUGUGGCUCAGCGGUAGAGUGCUCACCUAGCACGUGCAAGGCCCUGGGUUCAAUCCUCAGCACCA
rnacentral:tRNA from 1 species